rnacentral:rRNA from 1 species
AACGAACGCUGGCGGCAGGCCUAACACAUGCAAGUCGAACGAAGUAGCAAUACUUAGUGGCGCACGGGUGAGUAAUGCGUGGGAACGUGCCUUGUAGUAAGGGAUAACAUCGGGAAACUGAUGCUAAUACCAUAUACGCCCUUAGGGGGAAAGAUUUAUCGCUAUAAGAUCGGCCCACGUGAGAUUAGAUAGUUGGUGGGGUAAUGGCCUACCAAGUCUACGAUCUCUAGCUGGUCUGAGAGGAUGACCAGCCACACUGGAACUGAGACACGGUCCAGACUCCUACGGGAGGCAGCAGUGGGGAAUAUUGGGCAAUGGAGGCAACUCUGACCCAGCCAUGCCGCGUGAGUGAUGAAGGCCUUAGGGUUGUAAAGCUCUUUUACCGAUGAAGAUAAUGACGGUAGUCGGAGAAAAAGCCCCGGCUAACUUCGUGCCAGCCGCCGCGGUAA